UGGGUAACCUGCCUCAAAGAGGGGAAUAGCCUCCCGAAAAGGGAGAUUAAUACCGCAUAAUAUGUUUAGGUCGCAUGACUUUAACAUCAAAGGAUUUUCUUUUAGAAAAUUCCACUUUGAGAUGGACCCGCGGCGCAUUAGCUAGUUGGUGAGGUAACGGCUCACCAAGGCAACGAUGCGUAACCGACCUGAGAUGGUGAUCGGCCACAUUGGAACUGAGACACGGUCCAGACUCCUAGGGAGG
rnacentral:rRNA from 1 species